rnacentral:rRNA from 1 species
GUACACUCCUACGGGAGGCAGCAGUGGGGAAUAUUGGACAAUGGGCGCAAGCCUGAUCCAGCCAUGCCGCGUGAGUGAUGAAGGCCCUAGGGUUGUAAAGCUCUUUCACCGGUGAAGAUAAUGACGGUAACCGGAGAAGAAGCCCCGGCUAACUUCGUGCCAGCAGCCGCGGUAAUACGAAGGGGGCUAGCGUUGUUCGGAUUUACUGGGCGUAAAGCGCACGUAGGCGGACUAUUAAGUCAGGGGUGAAAUCCCGGGGCUCAACCCCGGAACUGCCUUUGAUACGGGUAGUCUUGAGUUCGAGAGAGGUGAGUGGAAUGCCGAGUGUAGAGGUGAAAUUCGUAGAUAGUCGGAGGAACACCAGUGGCGAAGGCGGCUCACUGGCUCGAUACUGACGCUGAGGUGCGAAAGCGUGGGGAGCAAACAGGAUUAGAAACCCCAGUAGUCCCAUG